GGGAAUGUGGCUUCACGGUAGAGUGCUUGCCUAGCAUGCAUGAAGCCCUGGGUUCCAUUCUCAGCACCA
rnacentral:tRNA from 1 species